ACACAAUCUUCAUAUCAGACACACAACACCUGGUGGCUGUGUGUGUGUGUGUGUGUGUGUGUGUGUGUGUUUGUUUCCUAGAAAUCAGGAAACAGUGCAGUGACCCAUCACCUGCAUACCUGAGGAGGCCCCGCCCCCUCUGCACAUACCCAUGUCCAGAUCACAGUGAACUUGGACCAGUAGGACCAGCUGGUUCUGUUUGUUCCCCUUAGAACUCAUUCUGGGGUUGCAGUCUGCCUGGUGUCAGAACCGGGUCCAGUUUGAACAAAGUGGAAUGACCAGAACCAGCUGAGUGCACAACACCUGUCUGAUACCUGAUCCGCCUCAUCACUGAUCAUUAAUCCCUCUGAUCACUAAUCAAUGAUCCCGCAUCGGACCGCACGCUAACAGGUAACAGCUAACAGAUAACAACUUACAGCUAACAGCUAACAGAUAACAACUUACAGCUAACAGAUAACAGCUAACAGCUUACAGCUAAAAGGUAACAGGUACCAGCUAAAAGGUAACAGGUAACAGCUAACACCUUACAACUAACAGGUAACAGCUUACAGCUAACAGGUAACAGGUAACAGGUAACAGGUAACAGCUCACAGCCAACAGGUAACAACUAACAGAUAACAGGUAACAGCUUACAGCUAACAGGUAACAGCUAACAGCUAACAGGUAACAGGUAACAGCUAACAGCUAACAGCUAACAGCUUACAGCUUACAGCUAACAGCUUACAGCUAACAGGUAACAGCUAACAGCUAACAGCUAACAGGUAAUAGCUAAGAGCUAACAGCUUGUAGCUAACAGAUAACAGCUUACAGCUAACAGGUAACAGGUAACGGCUUACAGCUAACAGGAAACAACUUACAGCUAACAGGUAACAGCUAAGAGCUAACAGCUUGUAGCUAACAGAUAACAGCUUACAGCUAACAGCUAACAGGUAACAGGUAACGGCUUGCAGCUAACAGGAAACAACUUACAGCUAAUAGGUAACAGCUUACAGAUAACAAGUAACAACUUACAGGUAACAGAUUACAGAUAACAGCUAACAGCUUACAGCUUACAGCCAACAGGUAACAGCUAACAGCUAACAGCUUACAGGUAACAGCUAAUAGGUAACAGCUAAUAGGUAACAGCUAAUAGGUAACAGCUAAUAGGCAACAGCUUACAGAUAACAAGUAACAACUUACAGGUAACAGAUUACAGAUAACAGCUAACAGCUAACAGCUUACAGCUUACAGCCAACAGGUAACAGCUAACAGCUAACAGCUUACAGCUUACAGCUUACAGGUAACAGCUAAUAGGUAACAGCUAAUAGGUAACAGCUAAUAGG